AUUGAACGCUGGCGGCAGGCCUAACACAUGCAAGUCGAACGAGUGGCGGACGGGUGAGUAAUGUCUGGGAAACUGCCCGAUGGAGGGGGAUAACUACUGGAAACGGUAGCUAAUACCGCAUACCAUCGGAUGUGCCCAGAUGGGAUUAGCUAGUAGGUGGGGUAACGGCUCACCUAGGCGACGAUCCCUAGCUGGUCUGAGAGGAUGACCAGCCACACUGGAACUGAGACACGGUCCAGACUCCUACGGGAGGCAGCAGUGGGGAAUAUUGCACAAUGGGCGCAAGCCUGAUGCAGCCAUGCCGCGUGUAUGAAGAAGGCCUUCGGGUUGUAAAGUACUUUCAGCGAGGAGGCGUUACUCGCAGAAGAAGCACCGGCUAACUCCGUGCCAGCAGCCGCGGUAAUAC
rnacentral:rRNA from 1 species